UUGCUAGGCAGUUGCUAGGGUGUUCUGGGUGGUUGCUAGGCAGUUUCUAGGGUGUUCUGGGGAAAUGAGAAAACCAAAGGUGCUAUGGUGUUAUGGGUGGUUGCUAGGUAGUUGCUAGGGUGUUCUGGGUGGUUGCCAGGCAGUUGCUAGGGUGUUCUGUGGAAAUGAGAAAACCAAAGUUGCUAGGGUGAUACUAGGUGGUUGCUAGGGUGUUCUGGGUGGUUGCUAGGGUGUUCUGGGGAAAUGAGAAAACCAAAGUUGCUAGGGUGAUACUAGGUGGUUGCUAGGGUGUUCUGGGUGGUUGCUAGGCAGUUGCUAGGGUGUUCUGGGGAAAUGAGAAAACCAAAGUUGCAAGGGUGUUACUAGGCGGUUGCUAGGGUGUUCUAGGUGAUUGCUAAGCAGUUGCUACGGUGUUCUGGGGAAAUGAGAAAACCAAAGUUGCUAGGGUGUUACUAGGCGGUUGCUAGGGUGUUCUGGGUGGUUGCUAGGCAGUUGCUAGGGUGUUCUGGGGAAAUGAGAAAACCAAAGUUGAUAGGGUGUUACUAGGCGGUUGUUAGGGUGUUCUGGGUGGUUGCUAGGCAGUUGCUAGGGUGUUCUGGGGA